UUGCCUUUCGGAUCCUAGCCAUCCAGAGGCAUCUUUUAAGAAGUUUCUCUCGGAAUGGGGCCUUCCCAAUCCUGUUAGAGCGCAAUGCCAUACUUUUAGAAGAUGUCAGUGCUGUGGAAUGAGAUGGCCAACCAUCAUAUGUAUGCUGCAACUCAGAGAUACAGCUGUGAAUUCUCAGAAUACGAAGAGCUAUAGAGAAAAUCCCUUCUGGGAGCACCAUGAUCCCCAGGGAGCACUAUGAUACCUGGAGGCGGUAGAGGUUGUGACACGGCUGACACUUCCCUGCACGGGUCCUGACUUCUCCAGCUGCUCCUGGGGAUGCUGGUGUCUUGCUGAUGGAGGUCAGUCCCAAUACUAUGCCCCGCGCUUUCCAAGUGCU
rnacentral:lncRNA from 1 species